AAAAUAAAAUUGAAUGAUUGCAUAAUGCUGAUGAUUAAUCCUCUGCUCCAUAGAGCUUGAUCUCUCGUUUAUUGAGUGGUUGAACUGGUCUUGCAUUUCUCUCUGCAUAAUCAUGAACGGCUUCUCUGAGUGCUUUAACUUGGUCUUCUGAAACAGUACUUAUCUUCUUGUUUAUGGUCCAAAUAACUCUUUCAAUGCAAGGAGGAACAGUUAAGGAACCCAAAUAUCUGUAAUAUCUCUUGUCACCCAUUUUGAUCUCUCUGGGAUCUACCAUUCCCAUGGUUCUCUCUUGCUUUUGGUCAUUCAUGGACUUUAUAUCACUUAGCAACUUGGAGAGGAAAGCAUCGGGUGGACCAAUCUUGUAGAGGAUGCCAAUCACAGUAAUAUUAUAUUUCACAUUUGGGUCUGUGUUUACGUGAACCAUGUGCAACUCCAUGUUAUACCUCCUGCCAUUAAUGGUGUGCUCAGAAGGAGAGUGCCAAUGGCAUUGUUGCAGAAAGUAUUCGUUACCAUUUAUCUGUAUUGAUCCUGCGUUGUAUCCCUUCCAUUCAAGCGAAAUAUCAUGGCCUCGGUUCUUGACAACAGAAUUACAAGGCUUGUAAUUCCUCUUGAAAUCUCCAGAUUUUCUGAUCACUUCAACUCUGUUAUUAGACAUAUCUAUAGGAGAUUGUAAAUCUCCUGUCCUGCAAGAAGCCCAUUCUUUCUUAAGCUCUCCCCAGUGUUCUGGUCCUUUCUCACUCCCUCUAAUGUAAUCGAACUCCCUCUCAUCCUCUGCCUCAACUUCACGAUGAGCUUCAAGUGAUGAUGAUGGAUGUGAAAAAAGGAGGGGGAUAAUGAUUAGAGCAGCGGUGAAG
rnacentral:misc_RNA from 1 species